UGAGAGUCGGCCUUCUGAGCAGCAUGGGC
rnacentral:piRNA from 1 species